rnacentral:rRNA from 1 species
CGGCGAGUGAAGCGGCAACAGCUCAGAUUUGAAAUCUGGUCCUUGGGCCCGAAUUGUAAUCUGCAGAGGAUGCUCUUGAGCCGGUGCGGUCCAAGUCCCUUGGAAAAGGGCGUCAUAGAGGGUGAGAAUCCCGUCGUGGCCGGCGCCGUGCUCUCUGUAGAGCUCCUUCGACGAGUCGAGUUGUUUGGGAAUGCAGCUCUAAAUGGGAGGUAAAUUCCUUCUAAAGCUAAAUAUUUGCUAGAGACCGAUAGCGCACAAGUAGAGUGAUCGAAAGAUGAAAAGCACUUUGGAAAGAGAGUCAAACAGCACGUGAAAUUGUUGAAAGGGAAGCGCUUGCAACCAGACUUGGUCUCGGAUGCUCCGCCGGUCUCUUGACCGGUUUACUCUUCCGUGGGCAGGCCAGCGUCGGUUUGGGCGGUCGCAUACGUGCGGUGGGAAUGUGGCCCCUCGGGGUGUUAUAGCCCGCCGUGUCUGCGGCCCGCCUGGACCGAGGUUUCGCGCUCCGGCUCGGACGCUGGCGUAAUGGUUGUAAGCGGCCCGUCUUGAAACACGGACCAAGGAGUCUAACGUCUACGCGAGUGUUUGGGUGUAAAGCCCAGGCGCGCAAUGAAAGUGAACGGAGGUAGGAACCGCAAGGUGCACUAUCGACCGAUCUUGAUGUCUUCGGAUGGAUUUGAGUAAGAGCGUAGCUGUUGGGACCCGAAAGAUGGUGAACUAUGCCUGGCUAGGGUGAAGCCAGAGGAAACUCUGGUGGAGGCUCGCAGCGGUUCUGACGUGCAAAUCGAUCGUCAAAUUUGGGCAUAGGGGCGAAAGACUAAUCGAACCAUUACUAGAAAGGCACACUGGUACACCAGUAUCUUUUUCAGUUGCUAGGUGGUUCAGAGGCGGCG